CCUACGGGGGGCAGCAGUGAGGAAUAUUGGUCAAUGGCCGGAAGGCUGAACCAGCCAUGCCGCGUGUAGGUCAGUGCCCUUUGGGCGUUAAACUUCUUUUGUGCGGGAGCAAUAAUGGUCACGUGUGGCCAGACGAGAGUACCGUACGAAUAAGCAUCGGCUAACUCCGGGCCAGCAGCCGCGGUCAUACGGGGGAUGCAAGCGUUAUCCGGAUUUAUGGGGUUUAAAGGGUGCGUAGGCUGUGAGGUAAGUCAGCGGUGAAAUGCCCCCGCUCAACGGGGUGAAGUGCCAUUGAUACUGCAUUGCUGGAAUGCGGAUGCCGUGGGAGGAAUGUGUGGUGUAGCGGUGAAAUGCAUAGAUAUCACACAGAACACCGAUUGCGAAGGCAUCUCACGAAUCCGCGAUUGACGCUGAUGCACGAAAGCGUGGGUAUCAAACAGGAUUAGAUACCCCAGUAGUC
rnacentral:rRNA from 1 species